GGAGAGAUGGCUUAGUGGUUAAGAGUACUGGCUUCUUUUCCAGAGGACCUGGGUUCAAUUCCCAGCUCCC
rfam:Neotoma lepida isolate 417 scaffold_873, whole genome shotgun sequence.